AACGAACGCUGGCGGCGCGUCUUAAACAUGCAAGUCGAACGGCAGGAAGGGGCUUGCCCCUUCUGAGAGUGGCGGACUGGUGAGUAACACGUGGGUGACAUACCUUUUAGUUGGGGAUAGCCAUUAGAAAUAGUAGGUAAUACCGAAUGUGACCGUACCUGUUAGAGGGGUACGAGGAAAGGAGCUAAGGCUUCGCUAAAAGAAUGGCUCGCGGCCCAUUAUGCUCGUUGGUGAGGUAACGGCCCACCAAGGCGAUGAUGGGUAUCCGGCCUGAGAGGGUGAACGGACACAUUGGGACUGAGAUACGGCCCAGACUUCUACGGGAGGCAGCAGUUAAGAAUAUUCCGCAAUGGACGAAAGUCUGACGGAGCGACGCCGCGUGGAUGAAGAAUGCCGAAAGGUUGUAAAAUCCUUUUAAGCCUGAUGAAUAAGCACAGUAGGGAAUGAUGGUGCGGUGACCGUAGGGCUUGAAUAAGCACCGGCUAAUUACGUG
rnacentral:rRNA from 1 species